rnacentral:misc_RNA from 1 species
CGCUCGCCCUUUCUGACAUGGCCGCCGAGCCGGAGUGCCUGGCGGAAGGUAAGCCAGCUCUGUCCCGAAAAGCCGUGCUCGAUAACGGCACCCCAUAGGAUCAGCANNNNNNNNUCCCGGAAUAUCCGCGCUGCGUCGACGCGUUGCGCGGCAUCGCGAGCGGCGCCUUGAUCGACGCCGUCCCCCAGGGCUGAACCCACGGAAAACGGCCGGCCU